rnacentral:rRNA from 1 species
AUUGAACGCUGGCGGCAGGCCUAACACAUGCAAGUCGAGCGGGUGAGGAAAGCUUGCUUUUCGAUUCAGCGGCGGACGGGUGAGUAAUGCCUAGGAAUCUGCCUGUUAGUGGGGGAUAACUCGGGGAAACUCGGGCUAAUACCGCAUACGUCCUACGGGAGAAAGUGGGGGAUCUUCGGACCUCACGCUAACAGAUGAGCCUAGGUCGGAUUAGCUAGUAGGGGAGGUAAUGGCUCACCUAGGCGACGAUCCGUAACUGGUCUGAGAGGAUGAUCAGUCACACUGGGACUGAGACACGGUCCAGACUCCUACGGGAGGCAGCAGUGGGGAAUAUUGGACAAUGGGCGAAAGCCUGAUCCAGCCAUGCCGCGUGUGGGAAGAAGGUCUUCGGAUUGUAAAGCACUUUAAGUUGGGAGGAAGGGUAUUCACCUAAUACGUGGGUACUUUGACGUUACCAACAGAAUAAGCACCGGCUAACUCUGUGCCAGCAGCCGCGGUAAGAC